AAUCAAGCGCGAAAAGGGCGUUUGGUGGAUGCCUUGGCAGUAAGAGGCGAUGAAGGACGUGAUACUCUGCGAUAAGCCAUGGGGAGCUGAGAAUAAGCUUUGAUCCAUGGAUUUCCGAAUGGGGCAACCCACCUGACAGUUUGUUAUAAUAGCCUUCGGGCUGCUUAUAAUGGGCUGAAACAGGUACUUAUUACCUGAAUACAUAGGGUUUUAAGAGCAAACCCGGGGAACUGAAACAUCUAAGUACCCGGAGGAAAGGACAUCAAUAGAGACUCCCCUAGUAGCGGCGAGCGAACGGGGACCAGCCGAGUCCUGAGAGUGACCAGAACGACCUGGAAAGGUCGGCCAUAGCGGGUGACAGCCCCGUAUGGGAAGCUCAAUGGAACGUAUUAAGUAGGGCGGGACACGUGAAAUCCUGUUCGAAGAUCGGAGGACCACCUCCGAAGGCUAAGUACUCCUUACUGACCGAUAGCGAACCAGUACCGUGAGGGAAAGGUGAAAAGCACCCCGACGAGGGGAGUGAAACAGUACCUGAAACCGAACGCCUACAAUCAGUCGGAGCUUGACUGGACUCUAAUAACAAUCUGGGCCAUGAGAUUGUCCUGUAGAAACGGCUGGAAGAGAGCAGAAGUACUGUUCUCCGGCAGCGAAGCGAUAGGACGAGAAACAUGGCUGACGGAACUUUUGCAGUGCUUAUGCUGAUAGCCGGACUGACGGAUAUGGGCAUGAAUCAUUGCGGCACGGAGGCAGGAUGCCUUGGCAAGUCGGAAACGACCCCAAGGCUGGCAAUCUCCGCAGGCCAGGUUCUGGAGCGGCGCGCCAAAAGCGCCUCUGAAGUCUAUCUGCGUUACGAUCUGGGCCGCAAACGUGGGCCAUUUGGAAAUGCGGUUGGACUUUCGGUGGGUGAGCAUGGCGAAACCUGGGUGGGCUUUGGCUCAACCUAUACCUACCAAUUCGGACGCAGCCCGCUCUAUGCGGAACUGCAUGCAAUGCCGGGUCUUUACGCCGAUAAUGGCGGAUUUGACCUUGGCGGACCGGUCGAAUUUAGAUCGGGAAUUGAGUUGGGUUACGAAGGCCGGGAAGGCUGGCGCUAUAGCGUCAGUUACGAUCACCGGUCCAACGCAGGGAUCUAUGACAUCAAUCCGGGAAUUGAGACCGUUCAAUUCCGGGUGAGUGUCCCGCUUAAGUAGAAGAUUAUUAUUAGUGUCCAGUCUUGUGACGGCGUACCUUUUGUAUAAUGGGUCAUCGACUUGGUCUAUCUAGCAAGCUUAAGCCGUUAGGUGUAGGCGCAGCGAAAGCGAGUCUUAAUAGGGCGUUGAGUUAGAUGGAUCAGACCCGAAACCGAGUGAUCUAGGCAUGACCAGGAUGAAGGUAAGGUAACACUUACUGGAGGUCCGAACCCACACCUGUUGAAAAAGGUCGGGAUGAGUUGUGCCUAGGGGUGAAAGGCCAAUCAAACUCGGAGAUAGCUGGUUCUCUGCGAAAUCUAUUUAGGUAGAGCGUCAUCCGAAUACCCCGGGGGGUAGAGCACUGGAUGGGUAAUGGGGCCCCACAGGCUUACUGAUCCUAACCAAACUCCGAAUACCCGGGAGUACUAGAUGGCAGACACACAGCGGAUGCUAACGUCCGUUGUGAAGAGGGAAACAACCCUGACCUACAGCUAAGGCCCCUAAUUCAUGGCUAAGUGGGAAAGCAGGUGGGACGACCAAAACAACCAGGAGGUUGGCUUAGAAGCAGCCAUCCUUUAAAGAUAGCGUAACAGCUCACUGGUCUAAAUAAGUUGUCCUGCGGCGAAGAUGUAACGGGGCUCAAGCCAUGAGCCGAAGCUUAGGAUGCCGUAAGGCAUGGUAGCAGAGCGUAGUGUGACAUAGUUCCAUGUCUCUUUUGCCUCUUUCGGGAGGUAUUGGAGACGCGGAGCUUUCUGUGAAGCUGGCGCGUGAGCGAUCCGGUGGAGAGAUCACUAGUGAGAAUGAUGACAUGAGUAGCGACAAAGAGUGUGAGAGACACUCUCGCCGAAAGUCCAAGGGUUCCUGCUUAAAGCUAAUCUGAGCAGGGUAAGCCGACCCCUAAGGCGAGGCCGAAAGGCGUAGUCGAUGGGAACCAGGUUAAUAUUCCUGGGCCAGAUGGAAGUGACGGAUCUCGAAGAUUGUUCCUCCUUAUCGGAUUGGAGGGGCCGUUGAGAGGUUCCUGGAAAUAGCUCCAUCGCUAGAUCGUACCCUAAACCGACACAGGUGGACUGGUAGAGAAUACCAAGGCGCUUGAGAGAACUAUGUUGAAGGAACUCGGCAAAAUACCUCCGUAAGUUCGCGAGAAGGAGGCCCGGUUUCUAGGCAACUAGAGGCUGGGGGCACAAACCAGGGGGUGGCGACUGUUUACUAAAAACACAGGGCUCUGCGAAGUCGUAAGACGACGUAUAGGGUCUGACGCCUGCCCGGUGCCUGAAGGUUAAAAGGAGGGGUGAGAGCUCUGAAUUGAAGCCCAGGUAAACGGCGGCCGUAACUAUAACGGUCCUAAGGUAGCGAAAUUCCUUGUCGGGUAAGUUCCGACCUGCACGAAUGGCGUAACGACUUCCCCGCUGUCUCCAACAUAGACUCAGCGAAAUUGAAUUGCCUGUCAAGAUGCAGGCUUCCCGCGGUUAGACGGAAAGACCCCGUGCACCUUUACUACAACUUCACACUGGCAUUAGGCCGAACAUGUGCAGGAUAGGUGGUAGGCUUUGAAGCGUGAACGCCAGUUUGCGUGGAGCUUCCCUUGAGAUACCACCCUUGUUCUGCUUGAUGUCUAACCGCGGUCCGUUAUCCGGAUCCGGGACCCUGUGUGGUGGGUAGUUUGACUGGGGCGGUCGCCUCCUAAAGCGUAACGGAGGCGCGCGAAGGUUGGCUCAGAGCGGUCGGAAAUCGCUCGUUGAGUGCAAUGGCAGAAGCCAGCCUGACUGCAAGACUGACAAGUCGAGCAGAGACGAAAGUCGGCCAUAGUGAUCCGGUGGUCCCAAGUGGGAGGGCCAUCGCUCAACGGAUAAAAGGUACGCCGGGGAUAACAGGCUGAUACUGCCCAAGAGUCCAUAUCGACGGCAGUGUUUGGCACCUCGAUGUCGGCUCAUCUCAUCCUGGGGCUGGAGCAGGUCCCAAGGGUACGGCUGUUCGCCGUUUAAAGAGGUACGUGAGCUGGGUUUAGAACGUCGUGAGACAGUUCGGUCCCUAUCUGCCGUGGGUGUAGGAUACUUGAGAGGAGUUGCCCCUAGUACGAGAGGACCGGGGUGAACGAACCACUGGUGGACCAGUUGUCGUGCCAACGGCAGUGCUGGGUAGCUAAGUUCGGACAGGAUAACCGCUGAAGGCAUCUAAGCGGGAAGCCCCCCUCAAAACAAGGUAUCCCUGAGGGCCGUGGUAGACCACCACGUCGAUAGGCCGGAGAUGUAAGCGCGGUAACGCGUUCAGUUGACCGGUACUAAUGGCCCGAUAGGCUUGAUUUG
rfam:Puniceibacterium sp. IMCC21224 IMCC21224_11, whole genome shotgun sequence.